CUUUGACUGCGGUGCGAGUGUAAAAGUCAUCAUUAACAAGAACAUGUCUUCACAGGCCCAGGCAGCCCUGAAAAGUUAUGGUGAAAACAAUGUCAAUGGCUCCCUUCACCUUCAUUCAAAUGGAAAGGAAAUGCUGAUGCUGGAGGUCGAUAUGAACAAUGAAAAGAGGAGGAAUGCCAGAAUUGUUGAACUGAGGGCUUUUCUCCAUCAGACUGUCCUGACAAAUCCAGAAUCGGUACAGUUCCAGCUCAUGGGUAAAAUAUUUCCAUCAAGACUUCUGUUGUCUUCUGACUUGAAGCUUAAUGAAAAUAGGCUUCACAUGGAUUUCCUGGGAGCCAGGGAGCAGAAAGUUGGUUUUGUUUUGUCUCUAAAUGGAAGAGUCCAACACACUUUUACUGGAUUAAAGGCCAUACCUCAUCUCCUUUCUCUGGAUGGAUUACUGAAGUGCAAAAACAACGUUCACGAUGGUAACAUCAAUGUGAUGGUCAACAAAAGACUGUAUGGACUGCAUGUCAGGAACAGGAAUGUGUUUGGGAAUACCACUGUGCACAAUAUCACUGUUGCUGUCGUUCAGAAUGGCAGUCAGGCAAUCCCAGGGGAGGCAAGACUGAAAGGACACCUGGAACUGAGUAAAGAGAAGAAAGCGGGGCUCGUUAGCUUCCAGGUGGAUGAGAAGGCUCUUUCUGUAGAUUUUUUCAAUAUCAUGGAUAAUGGGCACGGCAGAGUCAGUGGGACUUUCACACAUAAUGUCGACUUUUUAAAAAAUGCAGGGCUGCCUUUGGAUGGCAUUCUUAGUGCCACACGCGAGCAUGGCACAGGAAAUGACACCAUUGCCAUAGCCCUGCAGAGUGGCAGUGAAAGGAUUGUUGCUGUGUUCGAGGGGCACAGACUGGCCACAGAGCCUCCAACAUUCCAGCUAUCUGUGAGCUUAAAGCACAACAUCUCAAAGAUAAAGAAUCAUGGGAUCCCUUUUGUUUUAGAAGCUGCUGGCUAUUAUGAGAAUUUCUCCAAAAAGAUUGCUGCAGGGAUAACAACCACAGUGGAGACAGAGCAGCUCAAGAUUGCAAUAGAGAAGAAAACCACUGGCACUGCUAUGGAAGUUUCUCUUUUACUUCACCAUGAUGUGGGAGGACUGAUGGACAUCGUUCCACAUGUACUAGAGGUUGCUUGCAGUGGAGAAUCUGCUAACAAACAGCUUUCUGGCCUUUGCAAUGGUGCAAUUGCAUUUCAUCAUUUUGAGACUCCAGCAAGAGUUUCACUGAAUGGGUCAAUAUUUACCAGCAACUUUACUGUCAUCUUCUUUGGACAUGUUUCUUUUCAUGAUAUAUUUGCCUGUCUGCAACUCUAUGCCACCAGUAACACCCAUCCUCAUUUAGAAAUUGACUUCCAGCAUUCUUUGCCUUUACUUCAUUCUCUGGGAAUUGCCAGAGAGAACCAACUGAAGGUGUCAGCCAUGAGAAGUGACAAGUACAAGGGCAUCCUUGGUAUUGUGCUUGGGCCUUGCACUUUGGAGGCUGAUGGGGAAGUGAGCCUGGCAAGCAAUGAGACGGGAUGGGUACUUGCUUUUAGAAACAAGUGCAUCACUCUAGAGAGGAUGGGAUUGCCUCAUGCUGCAGUCUUGGGGGGCUCAUUUCAACAGAACAUCUGCAACGUGGGCUUGUUAAUGAACCUGCAGUGUGAUGGCAGAGCAAUGGAUGUGCAGAUAGACACCUCCUGUCAGCAUGAAUAUACACUCCAAGGGAUGCUCAGGCAUUCAUUUCCCUGGCUCAGCCAGCUUGGGCUGCCUUUUGAAAACUCAGUCCUGUUCUCUGCAGCCACAGACUCCACCACAGAGGUCAUUCUCCUGCUGCAGGCUGGCAGAUGCAGACUGAGGGCUAGAGGGGAUCUCUGUGUUCAGAAUAAAGCUGACUGGACCCUGGAAACAGAAGCAGAAUGUCAACUUCUGCAGGAUCUCAGUUUCCCAACUCAGUCACGGCUCACAGGAUCCAUUCAGAAAGAGAAGUGCCAGGCAGAAUUGCUCUCUGUCCUGGAAACAGAAGGCAAAACUGCCCAUCUUGAAGUGAGAGCAGAGUGCAAGCCAAAGAUGGCUCUGGAAAUUCAAUUCAGGCACAACCUCCCUCAGCUGAAGGAAAUCCCAAGGGAAAAUGAGCUGUCCAUCAGUGCACGGAAACACUUAAAGUAUCUUCUUGGAGUUGGGAUGAAACUGGGUGCCUGUGAGCUUCAGAUGAAUGGGGACUUUGACCCUGAAAAGAACCUGCAGUGGAAAAUGCUUAUAGAAAACAAAUGCCAAACAAUUCAGGAUCUUGGAGCACCAAUGAAAAUUGAUGGCUCAGGCUAUCUUUUGAUGGAUAAGAUGAACCUAGAUUCACAGACACUGGUCACUGUUGAUGAAAGUAAAUUCCGAGGACUCUUUAUACUAAAAGUCACUGAUGAAAGGCAAGAGCUGGAUGUGGUGCUAACCCAUAACAUCCAAGGAGCUGCUGACAUUGGCAUUCCCAUGAGGAUGUUACUUGAUGUGGUAUCAGAAAAAAACAGUAAUUUCUAUAAAGGAUUUAUUAAUUUCUGUGUGAACGACAAGCAAAUUACAGAAGAACUGAACUUUGUCCAGAAGUUGGAUGUUGUGUCUCUUAACUACAAACUUAUUCAUAACAUAGACACAUUGAAGACUUUGCAAAUAAAAGACAGGAUUGAGUUGCAGGCUAUCUUGAACCUCAAAGUCACCAGGAGCUUUAGUUUGAAAGUGCUUUAUGGUGCUCACCUAACAGUUCUUGAAGGACAAAUUCAGGAGUUUGAAACAAGUACCAACAUAACAGGGAAUUUCCAUCACUCUUUGCCAUGGCUGCUGCAAGUCAGAGUCCCAUCAUCUUUACAGAUAGAUGUGGUUUUUCAAGGGAGAAACACCACUCAAGAGAGAUAUGUGCACAUUGCAGCUGGAGAAACAUCAAUCACAUACAUAAUAAACUCCUAUUAUGUUGGCCACCAAGUGGAUCUCUUCUGCCAGAGUGUGCACAGCAGUGAGGUCCUCCAGGCAUCUGGCUACCCUAAGGCAAUCAACUUGAUUUUCAGUUUACAGAAAUCAGGAAACAAAGCCAAGACUGUCUGUGAAAUCCAAUAUGACGAGAAAGAUAUAACUGUGACUGUGGAUGUUGACACAGACUUUGAACUCUUUGGUGUAUUUGUGUUCGUGGCAGAGGUGAAGCAUUCAAUAUCACUUCUCCAUCACCUGGGACUUCCCUUCUUUCUUAAGGAAGCAUCCAGAAGGCCUGUCUGGAAGAUAAACUUCAGUCAAGAUGAUGGUUUUAAGUGA
ensembl:lncRNA